UUGAACGCUGGCGGCAUGCUUUACCCCUGCAAGUCGAACGGCAGCGCGGGCUUCGGCCUGGCGGCGAGUGGCGAACGGGUGAGUAAUGCAUCGGAACGUGCCCAGUAGUGGGGGAUAGCCCGGCGAAAGCCGGAUUAAUACCGCAUACGACCUGAGGGUGAAAGCGGGGGACCGAAAGGCCUCGCGCUAUUGGAGCGGCCGAUGUCGGAUUAGCUAGUUGGUGGGGUAAAGGCUUACCAAGGCGACGAUCCGUAGCUGGUCUGAGAGGACGACCAGCCACACUGGGACUGAGACACGGCCCAGACUCCUACGGGAGGCAGCAGUGGGGAAUUUUGGACAAUGGGGGCAACCCUGAUCCAGCCAUGCCGCGUGCGGGAAGAAGGCCUUCGGGUUGUAAACCGCUUUUGUUCGGGAAGAAAUCCUCUGGGCUAAUACCCCGGGGGGAUGACGGUACCGGAAGAAUAAGCACCGGCUAACUACGUG
rnacentral:rRNA from 1 species